rnacentral:rRNA from 1 species
UUGAACGCUGGCAGCAUGCUUUACACAUGCAAGUCGAACGGUAACAGGCCUUCGGGUGCUGACGAGUGGCGAACGGGUGAGUAAUGCAUCGGAACGUACCCAGAGGUGGGGGAUAACGCAGCGAAAGCUGUGCUAAUACCGCAUGUGAUCUGAGGAUGAAAGCGGGGGACCGAGCAGCAAUGUUUGGCCUCGCGCCUUUGGAGCGGCCGAUGUCGGAUUAGCUAGUUGGUGGGGUAAAGGCCUACCAAGGCGACGAUCCGUAGCUGGUCUGAGAGGACGACCAGCCACACUGGGACUGAGACACGGCCCAGACUCCUACGGGAGGCAGCAGUGGGGAAUUUUGGACAAUGGGCGCAAGCCUGAUCCAGCAAUGCCGCGUGCGGGAAGAAGGCCUUCGGGUUGUAAACCGCUUUUGGCAGGAACGAAACGGUGUCCGCUAAUACCGGGCGCUAAUGACGGUACCUGCAGAAUAAGCACCGGCUAACUACGUG